rnacentral:lncRNA from 1 species
AUUAUAAUGAACCCUUAGGUCUGGACAAUAAUUUUAGGGACGUGAUAAGAUCACGUCAGUGAGAUCUAAAUCUUUGAUAGCCAUGAUCUAAAAUAUUUUUAAUCAUUGGUUUAUGAGUUAGGGAUCAAUGAUACUGAUAAGACUUGCAUGUCCUAUGUAUGCUCAGAAAUGAGAGUGGUUGAUCUCACAACCAUUAUUUGAUGAUACUAAUACAAGGAUUUGGGUGCUCAUUAGAGAAUGAGUUUAUUGAAUAGACCUGUGAGAGAAUAUCAUAUGGAGUUUUAUUUACAUGUCAAUUGAUGAUUCUCUAGUGGAAGUUGUGUAAGUGAUCUUUUGACCUG